rnacentral:rRNA from 1 species
GGUUGCAAUCAUACCAGCACUAGUGCGCCGGAUCCAAUCAGAACUCCGCAGUUAAGCG